rnacentral:rRNA from 1 species
CAGAGGCCUCAAGCGUUGUUCGGAUUCAUUGGGCGUAAAGGGUGCGUAGGCGGCGGGGCAAGUCAGGUGUGAAAUCCCGGAGCUCAACUCCGGAACUGCACUUGAUACUGCCUCGCUAGAGUACUGGAGAGGAGACUGGAAUUUACGGUGUAGCAGUGAAAUGCGUAGAGAUCGUAAGGAAGACCAGUGGCGAAGGCGAGUCUCUGGACAGUUACUGACGCUGAGGCACGAAGGCCAGGGGAGCAAACGGGAUUAGAUACCCCGGUAGUCCUGGCAGUAAACGGUGCGCGUUUGGUGUGGGAGGAUUCGACCCCUUCCGUGCCGGAGCUAACGCGUUAAACGCGCCGCCUGGGGAGUAUGGUCGCAAGAUUA